AGAGUUUGAUCAUGGCUCAGGACGAACGCUGGCGGCGUGCCUAACACAUGCAAGUCGAGCGGGAACCCAGGGAGGGGUAACCCUUCCUGGGGGAGAGCGGCGAACGGGUGAGUAACACGUGGGCAACCUGCCCCAGACACUGGGAUAACCCCGGGAAACCGGGGCUAAUACCGGAUACUCCGGCCGGAGCGCAUGAUCCGGCCGGGAAAGCCCCGACGGUCUGGGAUGGGCCCGCGGCCUAUCAGCUGGUUGGUGGGGUAACGGCCCACCAAGGCGACGACGGGUAGCUGGUCUGAGAGGACGGCCAGCCACACUGGGACUGAGACACGGCCCAGACUCCUACGGGAGGCAGCAGUGGGGGAUAUUGCGCUAAUGCGCGAAAGCGUGACGCAGCGACGCCGCGUGGGGGAUGAAGGCCCUCGGGUUGUAAACCCCUUUCGGCAGGGACGAAGCGAGAGUGACGGUACCUGCAGAAGAAGUCCCGGCUAACUACGUGCCAGCAGCCGCGGUAACACGUAGGGGACGAGCGUUGUCCGGAUUUAUUGGGCGUAAAGCGCGCGUAGGCGGCCCGGAAAGUCGGUUGUGAAAUCCCGGGGCUCAACCCCGGGACCGCGUCCGAUACUUCCGAGCUCGAGGCAGGUAGGGGAGAUCGGAAUUCCUGGUGUAGCGGUGAAAUGCGCAGAUAUCAGGAGGAACACCGGUGGCGAAGGC
rnacentral:rRNA from 1 species